rnacentral:lncRNA from 1 species
UUGGGGACCUUUUUGGGGGAUUGAAUCAAAACAAAUUAUUGUAUUGUUACUAUCCGCAAACCAGCACUGUGGAUAAAGGGAAAGAACAAGGAGAAAUGGGUGCAGUACCAGAAUCUAUAAUAAAUGAAGCAGAAGGAGAAUGUGGACUUUGCUGCUACUGUGUUCUCUCUUCCAUUUGCGAGGAACAUCUAGAGUACUUUUGAUAACUACAAUGAAUUAACAACCAAAAUAACAGUUACAAAUUUAAUUCUCCAGUUUGACAUCAAGUUGGAAAAAUCCACUAGUAACCCUCUUUAUAUAAACAGCCCAAACCCUGACGAAAAUGAUACAAUUACAGUGCUUGUAUUUUUGAAUUACAAACACCGAAUAACUGAUACUCCAUUACUGUCCAUCUCUUACAGUUAAGCUCAAACCUCCAAAACUUGAUGAAGAACCCUAUAAAGCUAAGAUAUUAUUCCAUCAACCAAGGUUCUUGAACUGCUGCCCAUGCACAUAAUUCACCUUCUUUAAACCAAAGAGCUGCAGAAAGGAAAUGAACACAGAUCAAAACACCAAUUAAAUGAGAAUCAAGGCUAACUAAUUCUAAUUUGAGGAACAAACUAAAGUAUUCUGCUAAAGACUUCAGUUUCAUUUGCGAGAGAAAUAAUUUCCAAGAACUAACACUCACUACUCACUUCAUCAGUAGAGAAAUCACAAAUCUAAAAAUUUACAGGGCAAACCAACUAGUCAGCUAUCUAUCUUACUGGAACACACAUCCUAGUUAUAGGUGGUCUUUUACUUCCUAGCCACCACAAAUCAGCUAAAACUGCACGCAUAUAGAUAUUUGGGUGCUUUUUUUUUUCCAGAGAGCGG